rnacentral:lncRNA from 1 species
GGCCUGCAUUUCUGGAAGUCUGCCGCCCAUUCAGCCUCUCACUGUUUGCCUCAGCCAAAAGCCUCAGCAGACACACUUCCCUCACCACCCGGCACCCCUCCCACUCCUCAGUGAGUACAAGUGGUCCUUGGAAAUCCCCACCCUGUUCUCCUGGGCCCACGGCCCCCAUAAUCUACUCCAAAGCUUGGCAUCUGUUACCUUUCUGAGCACCAUCCUCCUGGCCCACCACAUGCCUAUUUCCCCCUCAACCCCCCCAACACUUACACAACUGUUGGGACCUCAUGGCACAGCUUCUCAAAGUCCCUUCUCCCAUUAACACUUGAGCUCUGAUAGAUUUUUACUUCAUUUUUCUGUUUGAAGGUAUCAGAAUUUAUGGCACAUAGUACAGCUCGGGCACUGUUAAUUGUGCUGGGCAAAUGACUCAUGUACCAGACCUACAGGGCAGUGUUUCUCAACCUGUGGGUCGAACCCCCCAUCCCCAAAACCAUUGGAAAGUAUAAAUGUAUACAUUAUGAUUUGUAACAGUAGCAAAAUUACACUUACAAAGUAGCAAUGAAAAUAAUUUUAUAGUGUGUAUGUGGAGAGGAGGGGGCACCACAACAUAAAGAACUGUAUUAAAGGGUCACGGCAUUAGGAAAGUUGAGAACCAAUGCUCUACACAGUCAUGAUUUCCACAAACACAAAGAAGAAC